rnacentral:rRNA from 1 species
GACGAACGCUGGCGGCGUGCCUAAUACAUGCAAGUCGAACGCUUCUUUCCUCCCGAGUGCUUGCACUCAAUUGGAAAGAGGAGUGGCGGACGGGUGAGUAACACGUGGGUAACCUACCCAUCAGAGGGGGAUAACACUUGGAAACAGGUGCUAAUACAGCAUAAAAGUUUAUGCCGCAUGGUAUCAGAGUGAAAGGCGCUUUCGGGUGUCGCUGAUGGAUGGACCCGCGGUGCAUUAGCCAGUUGGUGAGGUAACGGGUCACCAAGGCCACGAUGCAGAGCCGACCUGAGAGGGUGAUCGGCCACACUGGGACUGAGACACGGCCCAGACUCCUACGGGAGGCAGCAGUAGGGAAUCUUCGGCAAUGGACGGAAGUCUGACCGAGCAACGCCGCGUGAGUGAAGAAGGUUUUCGGAUCGUAAAACUCUGUUGUUAGAGAAGAACAAGGACGUUAGUAACUGAACGUCCCCUGACAGUAUCUAACCAGAAAGCCACGGCUAACUACGUGCCAGCCGCCGCCGUAA